CUGCGCGUCUCCUCCGCUUGGAGCUUCCUGCGCUCCCUGCGUCCCUCUGUGGCCGGAACUCCCUUCAUGGCCGGAGCUCGGCCGGCGCUCGGUCCUGCCACUCCCAUGGCCGCGCCCCCCCCUGCUUCUCUCUCUCAGCGCUCGCGGCUCUUUCUCUCCUGCUCCGUCCAUGGCUGUUUGCCUCUGCUCGCGGCGUCCCUGCUCGCCCAGCCGAGCUCUCCACUGCCCAGCUCCAUCUCACGGCGCUCUAUCUGCUCGGUUCCAUGGCCGCGGUACUCCAGCUCGUCGUGCCCUGCUCCCUCUGUUUCCAUGGCAGGCUCUCUGCUCGUCGCGCGCGCUUGGACGCUCUCCCUGGUGGCCGCCUGUUCUCCCUGUGUACCGCGCGAGUUCUUUGGUAGACGCCCGCUGACCGUGCUCCACUUCGCCCAUCGCGACGCUCCAGUUCCAACUCGCUGCGCGCCGAGCUCUUCGCUGUUGUCCGUGCGCGCGCGCCGCUCGUCGACCUCUCUGCUCACGCAUAGCUCGCUCUUUUCUUAUUUGCCGCGCGCACGAAUUUCAUCUGCUCCCACAGCAUGUCGAGUUCCCGCACCAUCAUCGCUUCUGUCACAAGCUCGUUGA
rnacentral:misc_RNA from 1 species